rnacentral:rRNA from 1 species
GAUCAUGGCUCAGAUUGAACGCUGGCGGAAUGCUUACACAUGCAAGUCGAACGGUAGAGGGGGCAACCCUUGAGAGUGGCGAACGGGUGAGUAAUAUAUCGGAACGUGCCCAGUCGUGGGGGAUAACGUAGCGAAAGUUACGCUAAUACCGCAUACGAUCUAAGGAUGAAAGCGGGGGAUCGCAAGACCUCGCGCGAUUGGAGCGGCCGAUAUCAGAUUAGGUAGUUGGUGAGGUAAAGGCUCACCAAGCCGACGAUCUGUAGCUGGUCUGAGAGGACGACCAGCCACACUGGGACUGAGACACGGCCCAGACUCCUACGGGAGGCAGCAGUGGGGAAUUUGGACAAUGGGCGCAAGCCUGAUCCAGCAAUGCCGCGUGCAGGAUGAAGGCCUUCGGGUUGUAAACUGCUUUGUACGGAACGAAACGGUGAGCUCUAAUACAGUUUGCUAAUGACGGUACCGUAAGAAUAAGCACCGGCUAACUACGUG